rnacentral:rRNA from 1 species
CCUACGGGAGGCAGCAGUGGGGAAUAUUGCACAAUGGGCGCAAGCCUGAUGCAGCCAUGCCGCGUGUGUGAAGAAGGCCUUCGGGUUGUAAAGCACUUUCAGCGGGGAGGAAGGCGUUAAGGUUAAUAACCUUGGCGAUUGACGUUACCCGCAGAAGAAGCACCGGCUAACUCCGUGCCAGCAGCCGCGGUAAUACGGAGGGUGCAAGCGUUAAUCGGAAUUACUGGGCGUAAAGCGCACGCAGGCGGUCCGUCAAGUCGGAUGUGAAAUCCCCGGGCUCAACCUGGGAACUGCAUUCGAAGCUGGCAGGCUAGAGUCUUGUAGAGGGGGGUAGAAUUCCAGGUGUAGCGGUGAAAUGCGUAGAGAUCUGGAGGAAUACCGGUGGCGAAGGCGGCCCCCUGGACAAAGACUGACGCUCAGGUGCGAAAGCGUGGGGAGCAAACAGGAUUAGAUACCCUUGUAGUC